GGGAUCCUACGGGGGGCAGCAGUAGGGAAUCUUCCACAAUGGGCGAAAGCCUGAUGGAGCAACGCCGCGUGGGUGAAGAAGGUCUUCGGAUCGUAAAACCCUGUUGUUAGAGAAGAAAGUGCGUGAGAGUAACUGUCCACAUUUCGACGGUAUCUAACCAGAAAGCCACGGCUAACUACGUGCCAGCAGCCGCGGUAAUACGUAGGUGGCAAGCGUUAUCCGGAUUUAUUGGGCGUAAAGGGAACGCAGGCGGUCUUUUAAGUCUGUUGUGAAACCCUU
rnacentral:rRNA from 1 species